AGUAGUGAAAGAUAAUAAGAGACAAGACGGAUGGACAACACCAACUUCUGCCAGUGAGCCCUUGCUGAACAAGUUUGGGUUCCAUACCUCUGCACACCACCUUUCUAUGAAGACUUUGGAGAAGCCAGCAACAAAUUAAGGACAUUUCAAUAAUGUACUGGCUGCAUCCUUUACAAACUCACAAUCCCUCUGUAUCUGUCUCUCAACCACUGUAUUGCCU